GUGAACGCUGGCGGUAGGCCUAACACAUGCCAGUCGAACGGCAGCACAGUAAGAGCUUGCUCUUACGGGUGGCGAGUGGCGGACGGGUGAGGAAUACAUCGGAAUCUACUUUUUCGUGGGGGAUAACGUAGGGAAACUUACGCUAAUACCGCAUACGACCUACGGGUGAAAGCAGGGGAUCUUCGGACCUUGCGCGAUUGAAUGAGCCGAUGUCGGAUUAGCUAGUUGGCGGGGUAAAGGCCCACCAAGGCGACGAUCCGUAGCUGGUCUGAGAGGAUGAUCAGCCACACUGGAACUGAGACACGGUCCAGGCUCCUACGGGAGGCAGCAGUGGGGAAUAUUGGACAAUGGGCGCAAGCCUGAUCCAGCCAUACCGCGUGGGUGAAGAAGGCCUUCGGGUUGUAAAGCCCUUUUGUUGGGAAAGAAAAGCAGCAGGUUAAUACCCCGCUGUUCUGACGGUACCCAAAGAAUAAGCACCGGCUAACUUCGUG
rnacentral:rRNA from 1 species